UAGGGAAUCUUCCACAAUGGGCGCAAGCCUGAUGGAGCAACACCGCGUGAGUGAAGAAGGGUUUCGGCUCGUAAAGCUCUGUUGUUAGAGAAGAACGUGCGUGAGAGCAACUGUUCACGCAGUGACGGUAUCUAACCAGAAAGUCACGGCUAACUACGUGCCAGCAGCCGCGGUAAUACGUAGGUGGCAAGCGUUAUCCGGAUUUAUUGGGCGUAAAGCGAGCGCAGGCGGUUUGAUAAGUCUGAUGUGAAAGCCUUUGGCUUAACCAAAGAAGUGCAUCGGAAACUGUCAGACUUGAGUGCAGAAGAGGACAGUGGAACUCCAUGUGUAGCGGUGGAAUGCGUAGAUAUAUGGAAGAACACCAGUGGCGAAGGCGGCUGUCUGGUCUGCAACUGACGCUGAGGCUCGAAAGCAUGGGUAGCGAACA
rnacentral:rRNA from 3 species